rnacentral:rRNA from 1 species
UUAUACAGUGAAACUGCGAAUGGCUCAUUAAAUCAGUUAUCGUUUAUUUGAUAGUACCUUACUACUUGGAUAACCGUGGUAAUUCUAGAGCUAAUACAUGCUUAAAAUCCCGACUGUUUGGAAGGGAUGUAUUUAUUAGAUAAAAAAUCAAUGCCUUCGGGCUCUUUGAUGAUUCAUAAUAACUUUUCGAAUCGCAUGGCCUUGUGCUGGCGAUGGUUCAUUCAAAUUUCUGCCCUAUCAACUUUCGAUGGUAGGAUAGUGGCCUACCAUGGUUUCAACGGGUAACGGGGAAUAAGGGUUCGAUUCCGGAGAGGGAGCCUGAGAAACGGCUACCACAUCCAAGGAAGGCAGCAGGCGCGCAAAUUACCCAAUCCCGACACGGGGAGGUAGUGACAAUAAAUAACGAUACAGGGCCCUUUCGGGUCUUGUAAUUGGAAUGAGUACAAUGUAAAUACCUUAACGAGGAACAAUUGGAGGGCAAGUCUGGUGCCAGCAGCCGCGGUAAUUCCAGCUCCAAAAGCGUAUAUUAAAGUUGUUGCAGUUAAAAAGCUCGUAGUUGAACCUUGGGCUUGGCUGGCCGGUCCAUCUUUUUGAUGCGUACUGGACCCAGCCGAGCCUUUCCUUCUGGCUAGCCUUUUAUGGCGAACCAGGACUUUUACUUUGAAAAAAUUAGAGUGUUCAAAGCAGGCCUUUGCUCGAAUAUAUUAGCAUGGAAUAAUAGAAUAGGACGUUAUGGUUCUAUUUUGUUGGUUUCUAGGACCAUCGUAAUGAUUAAUAGGGACGGUCGGGGGUAUCAGUAUUCAGUAGUCAGAGGUGAAAUUCUUGGAUUUACUGAAGACUAACUACUGCGAAAGCAUUUACCAAGGACGUUUUCAUUAAUCAAGAACGAAAGUUAGGGGAUCGAAGAUGAUCAGAUACCGUCGUAGUCUUAACCAUAAACUAUGCCGACUAGGGAUCGGUUGUUGUUCUUUUUUAUUGACGCAAUCGGCAC